rnacentral:lncRNA from 1 species
AAUAUGUAACGUUGCUAAAGAAGAAUCUGAUUGUCCGAGAUGUGUGGAAUUAGAAGCCAACUCUAUUCUUGCUAGAGUUUAUUGUAUGUUUUGAGUACAAAGGUCCUUAUUGAGUUGGAAGUGGAUUGUAUUCUGACAGGGUCUAUUCUUAUCAGCCUUCGAACACACGAUCGACAUAUGCCUCGUCGGAUCCACGGCCAAGUGAU